rnacentral:rRNA from 2 species
AGAGUUUGAUCCUGGCUCAGGAUGAACGCUAGCGGCAGGCUUAACACAUGCAAGUCGAGGGGUAACAGGAGUAGCUUACUACUUGCUGACGACCGGCGCACGGGUGAGUAACGCGUAUACAAUUUGCCUUAUACUGGAGAAUAACCAGAAGAAAUUCUGACUAAUACUCCAUAGUAUUAUAGAUUGGCAUCAAUUUAUAAUUAAAGAUUUAUUGGUAUAAGAUAAGUAUGCGUCCUAUUAGUUAGAUGGUAAGGUAACGGCUUACCAUGACGAUGAUAGGUAGGGGUCCUGAGAGGGAGAUCCCCCACACUGGUACUGAGACACGGACCAGACUCCUACGGGAGGCAGCAGUGAGGAAUAUUGGACAAUGGAGGCAACUCUGAUCCAGCCAUGCCGCGUGCAGGAAGACUGCCCUAUGGGUUGUAAACUGCUUUUAUACAGGAAGAAUAUCAAUUACGUGUAAUUGUUUGACGGUACUGUACGAAUAAGCACCGGCUAACUCCGUGCCAGCAGCCGCGGUAAUACGGAGGGUGCAAGCGUUAUCCGGAAUCAUUGGGUUUAAAGGGUCCGUAGGCGGGCGAUUAAGUCAGGGGUGAAAUCUCACAGCUCAACUGUGAAACUGCCCUUGAUACUGGUUGUCUUGAAUUUUAGUGAAGUAGAUAGAAUAUGUAGUGUAGCGGUGAAAUGCAUAGAUAUUACAUAGAAUACCGAUUGCGAAGGCAGUCUACUAACUAACAAUUGACGCUAAUGGACGAAAGCGUGGGGAGCGAACAGGAUUAGAUACCCUGGUAGUCCACGCCGUAAACGAUGGAUACUAGUUGUUGGGGUUUACCUCAGUGACUAAGCGAAAGUGAUAAGUAUCCCACCUGGGGAGUACGUUCGCAAGGAUGAAACUCAAAGGAAUUGACGGGGGCCCGCACAAGCGGUGGAGCAUGUGGUUUAAUUCGAUGAUACGCGAGGAACCUUACCAGGGCUUAAAUGUAAGUUGCAUUAGCUAGAGAUAGCUAUUUCUUCGGACCACUUACAAGGUGCUGCAUGGUUGUCGUCAGCUCGUGCCGUGAGGUGUCAGGUUAAGUCCUAUAACGAGCGCAACCCCUAUCGUUAGUUGCUAACAGGUCAUGCUGAGGACUCUAAUGAGACUGCCGGUGCAAACCGUGAGGAAGGUGGGGAUGACGUCAAAUCAUCACGGCCCUUACGUCCUGGGCUACACACGUGCUACAAUGGUAAGGACAGAGAGCAGCCAACUGGUGACAGUGAGCGAAUCUUUAAACCUUAUCGCAGUUCGGAUCGGAGUCUGCAACUCGGCUCCGUGAAGCUGGAAUCGCUAGUAAUCGCAUAUCAGCCAUGAUGCGGUGAAUACGUUCCCGGGCCUUGUACACACCGCCCGUCAAGCCAUGGAAGCUGGGAGUACCUGAAGUCGGUGACCGCAAGGAGCUGCCUAGGGUAAAACUAGUAACUGGGGCUAAGUCGUAACAAGGUAACC